rnacentral:rRNA from 1 species
GGUUAAGCGACUAAGCGUACACGGUGGAUGCCCUGGCAGUCAGAGGCGAUGAAGGACGUGCUAAUCUGCGAUAAGCGUCGGUAAGGUGAUAUGAACCGUUAUAACCGGCGAUUUCCGAAUGGGGAAACCCAGUGUGUUUCGACACACUAUCAUUAACUGAAUCCAUAGGUUAAUGAGGCGAACCGGGGGAACUGAAACAUCUAAGUACCCCGAGGAAAAGAAAUCAACCGAGAUUCCCCCAGUAGCGGCGAGCGAACGGGGAGCAGCCCAGAGCCUGAAUCAGUGUGUGUGUUAGUGGAAGCGUCUGGAAAGGCGCGCGAUACAGGGUGACAGCCCCGUACACAAAAAUGCACAUGCUGUGAGCUCGAUGAGUAGGGCGGGACACGUGGUAUCCUGUCUGAAUAUGGGGGGACCAUCCUCCAAGGCUAAAUACUCCUGACUGACCGAUAGUGAACCAGUACCGUGAGGGAAAGGCGAAAAGAACCCCGGCGAGGGGAGUGAAAAAGAACCUGAAACCGUGUACGUACAAGCAGUGGGAGCACGCUGGCGUGUGACUGCGUACCUUUUGUAUAAUGGGUCAGCGACUUAUAUUCUGUAGCAAGGUUAACCGAAUAGGGGAGCCGAAGGGAAACCGAGUCUUAACUGGGCGUUAAGUUGCAGGGUAUAGACCCGAAACCCGGUGAUCUAGCCAUGGGCAGGUUGAAGGUUGGGUAACACUAACUGGAGGACCGAACCGACUAAUGUUGAAAAAUUAGCGGAUGACUUGUGGCUGGGGGUGAAAGGCCAAUCAAACCGGGAGAUAGCUGGUUCUCCCCGAAAGCUAUUUAGGUAGCGCCUCGUGAAUUCAUCUCCGGGGGUAGAGCACUGUUUCGGCAAGGGGGCUUACCAACCCGAUGCAAACUGCGAAUACCGGAGAAUGUUAUCACGGGAGACACACGGCGGGUGCUAACGUCCGUCGUGAAGAGGGAAACAACCCAGACCGCCAGCUAAGGUCCCAAAGUCAUGGUUAAGUGGGAAACGAUGUGGGAAGGCCCAGACAGCCAGGAUGUUGGCUUAGAAGCAGCCAUCAUUUAAAGAAAGCGUAAUAGCUCACUGGUCGAGUCGGCCUGCGCGGAAGAUGUAACGGGGCUAAACCAUGCACCGAAGCUGCGGCAGCGACGCUGCGUUGUUGGGUAGGGGAGCGUUCUGUAAGCCUGCGAAGGUGUGCUGUGAGGCAUGCUGGAGGUAUCAGAAGUGCGAAUGCUGACAUAAGUAACGAUAAAGCGGGUGAAAAGCCCGCUCGCCGGAAGACCAAGGGUUCCUGUCCAACGUUAAUCGGGGCAGGGUGAGUCGACCCCUAAGGCGAGGCCGAAAGGCGUAGUCGAUGGGAAACAGGUUAAUAUUCCUGUACUUGGUGUUACUGCGAAGGGGGGACGGAGAAGGCUAUGUUGGCCGGGCGACGGUUGUCCCGGUUUAAGCGUGUAGGCUGGUUUUCCAGGCAAAUCCGGAAAAUCAAGGCUGAGGCGUGAUGACGAGGCGCUGAAGCAACAAAUGCCCUGCUUCCAGGAAAAGCCUCUAAGCAUCAGGUAACAUCAAAUCGUACCCCAAACCGACACAGGUGGUCAGGUAGAGAAUACCAAGGCGCUUGAGAGAACUCGGGUGAAGGAACUAGGCAAAAUGGUGCCGUAACUUCGGGAGAAGGCACGCUGAUAUGUAGGUGAGGUCCCUCGCGGAUGGAGCUGAAAUCAGUCGAAGAUACCAGCUGGCUGCAACUGUUUAUUAAAAACACAGCACUGUGCAAACACGAAAGUGGACGUAUACGGUGUGACGCCUGCCCGGUGCCGGAAGGUUAAUUGAUGGGGUUAGCGCAAGCGAAGCUCUUGAUCGAAGCCCCGGUAAACGGCGGCCGUAACUAUAACGGUCCUAAGGUAGCGAAAUUCCUUGUCGGGUAAGUUCCGACCUGCACGAAUGGCGUAAUGAUGGCCAGGCUGUCUCCACCCGAGACUCAGUGAAAUUGAACUCGCUGUGAAGAUGCAGUGUACCCGCGGCAAGACGGAAAGACCCCGUGAACCUUUACUAUAGCUUGACACUGAACAUUGAUUGAUGUUCUAACGUUGACCCGUAAUCCGGGUUGCGGACAGUGUCUGGUGGGUAGUUUGACUGGGGCGGUCUCCUCCUAAAGAGUAACGGAGGAGCACGAAGGUUGGCUAAUCCUGGUCGGACAUCAGGAGGUUAGUGCAAUGGCAUAAGCCAGCUUGACUGCGAGCGUGACGGCGCGAGCAGGUGCGAAAGCAGGUCAUAGUGAUCCGGUGGUUCUGAAUGGAAGGGCCAUCGCUCAACGGAUAAAAGGUACUCCGGGGAUAACAGGCUGAUACCGCCCAAGAGUUCAUAUCGACGGCGGUGUUUGGCACCUCGAUGUCGGCUCAUCACAUCCUGGGGCUGAAGUAGGUCCCAAGGGUAUGGCUGUUCGCCAUUUAAAGUGGUACGCGAGCUGGGUUUAGAACGUCGUGAGACAGUUCGGUCCCUAUCUGCCGUGGGCGCUGGAGAACUGAGGGGGGCUGCUCCUAGUACGAGAGGACCGGAGUGGACGCAUCACUGGUGUUCGGGUUGUCAUGCCAAUGGCACUGCCCGGUAGCUAAAUGCGGAAGAGAUAAGUGCUGAAAGCAUCUAAGCACGAAACUUGCCCCGAGAUGAGUUCUCCCUGACCCUUUAAGGGUCCUGAAGGAACGUUGAAGACGACGACGUUGAUAGGCCGGGUGUGUAAGCGCAGCGAUGCGUUGAGCUAACCGGUACUAAUGAACCGUGAGGCUUAACCU